rnacentral:misc_RNA from 1 species
GAUGAAGAACGCAGCGAAAUGCGAUACUUGGUGUGAAUUGCAGAAUCCCGUGAACCAUCGAGUCUUUGAACGCAAGUUGCGCCCGAAGCCAUUAGGCCGAGGGCACGCCUGCCUGGGCGUCACACGUCGUUGCCCCCCCAUCUACUCCUUCGGGAUUGCGGGGGGCGGAUGAUGGCCUCCCGUGCGCCUCGCUGCGCGGUUGGCAUAAAUGCCAAGUCCUCGGCGACGCACGCCACGACAAUCGGUGGUUGCGAAACCUCGGUUGCCCGUCGUGUGCGGUCGUCGCGCAUCGAGGGCUCGAAAAAAUUGCCGGGUUCCGGCUCGGCUUUCAACGCGACCCCAGGUCAGGCGGGGUUACCCGCUGAAUUUAAGCAUAUCAAUAAGCGGAGGA